rnacentral:lncRNA from 1 species
GUUCUGAUUAUUUAUUUUUUUUUUUUUUUCUUCCGCCUAAUUUUUUCUUGCGGUGUAAAAAUGUUUCAAAAGAUAUCGCUUAGUUUUUAUACGCCCGUCAAAAUUUUGACGGGACGUAUUAUGAUAUACAAAUGUCCAGUGUCCGUCCGUCUGUCCGGCGUCAACACGUCGCACCGUAACUUGAGAACGACUUAUCCAAAUUUCAUGAAACUUAAUAUUAAUGUUUCUUAUGAUGGUCAAAUGAUCUGUAUACUUUUUGGUGAAAAUAAGAUUUAAACUUUUUGAGUUACGGCACUUUAUAACUAAAACAGGGGUGUGUUUUUUUCACAUGUCGCACUGUAUCUCAAAAACGAUUCUUGAUUAUGACUUAAAACUUUAAACACUUCUUAGUAUUUUAAUCUCAAUAUCUGUAUACUUUUUGGUGAUGAUUCAAAAUUUCAUUUUUGAGUUAUUGAGUAUUUUGUAAAAAAGGGGGAGGGUUUUUUUACAUGUCGCGCCAUAUCUCAAAAACUAUUUAUGAUUAUUGCUUAAAAC